CCUACGGGAGGCAUCAGUGAGGAAUAUUGGUCAAUGGCCGUAAGGCUGAACCAGCCAAGUCGCGUGAAGGAAGAAGGAUCUAUGGUUUGUAAACUUCUUGUAUAGGGGAAUAAAGGUAUCCACGUGUGGAUAUUUGCAUGUACCCUAUGAAUAAGCAUCGGCUAACUCCGUGCCAGCAGCCGCGGUAAUACGGAGGAUGCGAGCGUUAUCCGGAUUUAUUGGGUUUAAAGGGUGCGUAGGUUGUUUUUUAAGUCAGCGGUGAAAGUUUGUGGCUCAACCAUAAAAUUGCCGUUGAAACUGGAAGACGUGAGUGUGUUUGAGGUAGGCGGAAUGCGUGGUGUAGCGGUGAAAUGCAUAGAUAUCACGCAGAACUCCGAUUGCGAAGGCAGCUUACUAAGCCAUAACUGACACUGAAGCACGAAAGCGUGGGGAUCAAACAGGAUUAGAUACCCUAGUAGUC
rnacentral:rRNA from 1 species